GACGAACGCUGGCGGCGUGCUUAACACAUGCAAGUCGAACGGAAAGGCCCCUUUGGGGGUACUCGAGUGGCGAACGGGUGAGUAACACGUGAGUAACCUGCCCUUGACUUCGGGAUAACUUCAGGAAACUGGGGCUAAUACCGGAUAGGAAUCCUUGCUGCAUGGUGGGGGUUGGAAAGCUUCGGCGGUUUUGGAUGGACUCGCGGCUUAUCAGCUUGGUGGUGGGGUAGUGGCUUACCAAGGCUUUGACGGGUAGCCGGCCUGAGAGGGCGACCGGCCACAGUGGGACUGAGAUACGGCCCAGACUCCGACGGGAGGCAGCAGUGGGGAAGAUUGCACAAUGGGCGGAAGCCUGAUGCAGCAACGCCGCGUGCGGGAUGACGGCCUUCGGGUUGUAAACCGCUUUCAGCAGGGGCGAAGCUUGUGGUGACGGUACCUGCAGAAGAAGCACCAGCUAACUACGUG
rnacentral:rRNA from 1 species